AGUGAACGCUGGCGGUAGGCCUAACACAUGCAAGUCGAACGGCAGCACAGUAAGAGCUUGCUCUUACGGGUGGCGAGUGGCGGACGGGUGAGGAAUACAUCGGAAUCUACUUUUUCGUGGGGGAUAACGUAGGGAAACUUACGCUAAUACCGCAUAUGGCCUACGGGUGAAAGCAGGGGAUCUUCGCACCUUGCGCGAUUGAAUGAGACGAUGUCGGAUUAGCUAGUUGGCGGGGUAAAGGCCCACCAAGGCAACGAUCCGUAGCUGGUCUGAGAGGAUGAUCGGCCACACUGGAACUGAGACACGGUCCAGACUCCUACGGGAGGCAGCAGUGGGGAAUAUUGGACAAUGGGCGCAAGCCUGAUCCAGCCAUACCGCGUGGGUGAAGAAGGUCUUCGGGUUGUAAAGCCCUUUUGUUGGGAAAGAAAAGCAGCAGGUGAAUACCCCGCUGUUCUGACGGUACCCAAAGAAUAAGCACCGGCUAACUUCGUG
rnacentral:rRNA from 1 species